CAGCCAUGUGGUAAGCACAGAGCGAACUAUUCUUUCACCUUUUACUAAAGAAUACCGUGUGCUUGCCACUUACAAAUGGCGUAUAUUUUUGGUUCUCAAAGUGUUUAUGAAA